GAUACUUAUAUCAUUGAUUUUCAGCUUUUUUUCUUUUAUAGUAAAGCAUUUAGAGCUAUAAAUUUUCCUCUUAACGCAGGUUUGGUUGCAUUCCACAAUUUUUAAUAUGUCUAAUUUUCAAAAUUAUUCAAUUCAAAAUAUUUUCAUUGCCAUUGUUAUUUCCUCCUUGACCCAUGGGUUGUUUCCAAAACAUUUGGGGAUGUUCUAGUUAUCUUUAUAUUAUUGAUUUUGAGUUUAAUUACAAUGUGUUCAGACACAAAGAUUGUACUCUCAAUGAUUUUAAUCUUUCAAAAUGUUGAGACUUACUCUAUGACAUAUUAUAUGCUCAAUUUUGAUAAAUGAUUCACAUGCAUUUAAACGAAGUAUGUGUGGUGCCAUUGUUGAGGACAGUGUUUCAUAUAAGCCAGUUAGGAGCAUCAGAGAAAGAAAUAUGAUGAGAAAAGCAGAGGUGAGAGUGAUAUGAUUGCUGGAAUAGGGUCACAAGACAAAGAAUGCAGGCUGCAAAAGGCAAGGAACAGAUUCUCUCCUCUACCCUCUAGAACGAAUGCAACUCUACUGAUACCUUAAUUUCAGCCCCAUAAGAUCAAUUUCAGAUUUUUGCCUGAAAAAACUGUAAGAUAAUACAUUCAUAUUGUUUUAAGUAAUGUUUUUGGUGGUUCGUUACAGUAUCAAUAGCAAACUGAUACACUUAAUAUAUUUUUUGAUUCACUUUUUUCAGGUUUGUGCAUACUUAUAUAUACAUGAUGUCUCUUGUAAGUAUCACAGAGAAUUUUUUAAAUAUAAUCUGACAAUCUCUGUCUUUUGAUUGGAGUAUUUAGAUCCCUUUUAUUUACUGUGGUUACUGAUAUAUUUAAGUUUGGAUCUAUUAUUUUACUAUUUUUUUAUUUAGUCCACCUGUUUUUCCUCCCUUCUCUCAUUUCUUGCUUUUCUUUGGAUUUAACCCGUAUUUAUUUUAUAAUUCUACUUAUUGUCCUCUGUUAGUUUCUUAGGUAUACUUUUUAUAUCCCUAGAAAUUACUACAUGCCUUUUGAGUUAUUAGGACUAAAUUAGUACUAUUUCCACUUCCCAAACCAUAUUACGAUCAUAAAAAAAAUUUAACAUCAUUUCCCCCUUGCAAACUUUUGUGCCAAUAUUGUCAUAAAUGUUAAUUAUGCACAUAUCUCUUAUUGCUUUGUACAACCAAUAUUUAUUUAGGUUUUCUUUCAUACAGUCAGUGCUUCUAUAAUGCUUGCUUUGAAAACAUGAAUUUGUUUUAAUGCAAUUGAUAUACUAGAAAAUCACGUUAGUAUAAUGUAAAUUUUGCAUUUGCUUUUGCUCAAUUUUAUCCAUGAGAAACACAGGUGAAUGCAAAAAAAGAAAAACUGUGCUCAGCUUAACUGAGCAAAAUAAAAUAUAAAAAUGUACACAGGUAUUCAUCUCAAACAUCUGUCAGCUGCCUCAGUUCACCAUGUGUGUUAUGAGCUAUAUCCAUUACAACUUUUUGUCAAAUUUCAGAUAACCUUACUUUUACCACUUCACAAGCUGCAAACUUUCUGAUACCCACGUUCACACACACACAAAGUUUUUUUCAAGAUAAAACGCCAUAUUUACUGUAGAACUGAUAUGUUUCUUAACCACUUAAUGUGUAAAACUUUGCUAGUUUUCAUUAGGUUUCUGUCUAUAUUUUCGUGUCAACUAUGAAAUUUUUAAAUGCUGUAAAUGUAAACUCAUUUUCCCUCUAAGCCUGCGGUUUUCAUUAUUAAUUUUGUAUAGUUUUGUGAUUUUUAGAAAUGUGCUGUAACAGAACUGACUGUAUUGACCAUUUCUGUUGCUUUUCCUUUCCUUUUGCUGUUGCUGUUGUUGCUAUUGUUAUUGCUUUCACUUUGUUUCUGCUGAGAUUCUUUCUGCCUGGAAAGCUCUCUUUAGUUACUGAGUAUUUCUUUUGCAUAUUUUCUGCUGGUGAUAAUUUCCUUCAUUUUGUCUGGAAAUAUUUCUUAUUUCAUCAUAAUUAUGAAGGAUAUUUCUGCUGUAUAUAAAAUUCUAAGUUGGCAGACAUUUUCUUUCAGCUUCUGGUAUUUCUUUUAAGGAGCCAGCUGUCAGUCAUGUUAUUACUCUUUUGAAGGUAUUGUGCUUUUGUUUUUUCUAGAUGCUAAUAUCUAAUCUAUCACUUUGGUUCUUGGCAGUUUUUCUGUUAAGUAUUUAUCUAUGAUUUCUUUGUACUUACCUUGCUUUGGGUUGCAAGUGCAUUUUGAUUUUGUGAUGUUGUCUUUCAUUGGUUUUGAACAUUCUCAGCCAUUAAUGCUUCUUCUGUUGAAGUAUCUACUUCAAUCUCUUCUACUCCAAUCUCUCUCCUACCCUUCUGUGACUCCAAUUAUACAUAUUAGUCCAUGCCCCAUAAAUCUCUUACACAAUUUUCUCUACUUUUUAUAAUUUUUACUUUUAACUCUUCAAUCUAGAUAUUUUGUACUGAUUAUUUUCCAGCUUAUUAAUUCCCUUUUCGAGUAUGUUCAGUUUCCACUUAAACCCAUCUGAGUUAAUUAAUUCAAGUAAUUUUGUUAUUAUAUUUUCUUAUCCAGAAUUUCCACUUGCUUUUUAACAAUUUCAAUUCUGUAGUGAAAGUCUUCAUUUUUGUCAUCUAUUUAAUCAAAUAUGUUAAUCUCAAUUAUUUUUAAGUCUAUAUCUAAUAAGCCCAAUAACUACAGUUCUUUCUUAGGGCCCUUCCUCCUUACCAAUUCCUGAACUCCAGUUUUUGUCUCUCCAGCACACGAGGCUGCAUAAAAUUCCUUUUUACAUUCAGUUACUUUUUGCUUAGUUUUUUAGCCUCUUGCCUUGCAUAUCUUCAUCAGUAAAUGUCUCAAGUGUUGGGCUCACUUCUCUGUACUUCAUUUCUCUCUAGGAUCUUGGCUUUUUAAGCGCUGCCUAUUAUGGCAAAGUAGAAUUCUAAUUAUUUUUGUUUGUUUGUUUUUUAUAAACAGAGUCUUGCUGUUGUCCAGAUUGAUCUCAAAUUUCUGGCCUCAAGUGAUCCUCCUACCUCGACCUCCAAAAGCAGUGGGAUUAUAGGUGUGAGCAACUAUGCCUGGCCAGAAUUCUAAUUUUUUAUUCACAUGGCUAUGCAAUUGCUUAAAGUUCUGCUGGCCUCAUUAUCUCUUAGCUGUCACCUUCUGCCCAGCUUCUAAUAUUGUGCUCACCUUAGUUAGUUUCCCUUCUUUCUGUGAUUCGCUUUUCAAGUCUUGACUGCCCGGACAAUUAGCCAAGACUUUAAAACAUACGAUUUUUCUAUUUUAGCUGGAUUUUUUAAGCUGUUCCCAUCAGGAGCAUUUGUCUGCAACAAGUUGUUCAUUUAUAACCAGUCUUAAGAUUGGUUUUCCCACAACUUUUUUUGAUAUAGUGGCAUUGGCACUGGCCUUGUUUCAGCCCAGUAUAUAAAAUUCACCUGGUUUCUUGCUCUUCUUUUCCUACAAAUAACUACUUUUCUUGCAUAGGGAGCAGAAGAAGAAGCAGAAAUGCUGCACUAAGAGAGAUUUAAGGCCUAGAUUUCAUUUUCCAUAUGCCAGCUUUGUUAUAUUUCUCCGAGCUUCAGAUCCUCUGUUUUCUAAACUGUGGUAAGUGCAUUUAAAUCACACACAAAAAUUAAAGUAAUUGAAUCCAAUACUCCCUUGGAGACUCAUCCAUCUCAUUUUUUUUCUCCAAUGAACAAAAGCAUUUAGCCACACUGAGUGAAAUGGGGACAGUGAUCAUAACUAUAUUCACUGCUACCUCCCAGUAUCUGAUAAUGUCCAACCAGCUAGUGACUCCUUAAACCUGGGGAGAAAUAUUGGGAGACAUCCAAACUUCCUUGAGUGUAAGAUCACAGGCUGCCAUCAGACAUGGAAUACCGACUAAAUAAGAAUAUGAACUGCAGGAGCCCCAGCUGGGUUCCAGACCAUCCAUCGCAAAUUUAGGUGAUCUUCAGCAAGUCAGUCAGACUCUUUAACUCUCUGUUUCUCCUUCCAUAAAGUAGUCUAAAUAAUAGUGCUUGCCUCUUUUGUUUGUUGUGAAGCCUAAAUGAAAUAAAACAGGUGAAAUGCUUCCUCUAGUGCCUGGCCCAUUCGGUACAUAAUAAAUGUUAGCAAUUUUUAUUUCAAUCUCAACCCAUUAACACUCUAGUAGGACUCUCACAGGGGCACUAAAGACUUAGAGGGACACUAAAUCAGUAGGUGGGUGGAGACCCAAAUAAACUUUAAAUUCUGGACACCUUUGCCCUGAGAGUGGUGAAGAGACUGCAAAGUUACUUCAUGACACUUUCUUGCUUCUGUUCCCCAACUACCCAGUCUAAAAGCCAGAUGGUAGCAAAGGAAGAAAAUAUCUGCUGCGUUGGAAUAAGGAAACACAAUGUAUUUGUAAAUGUGCUCCUAAGUCAUGUUCUGUGGGGGCACUCCAGGUGCCUCCCUCUAUGCCUGUCAUUGUCUAUAUUCACUUACAAAUAUCAUUGAUCAUCUCCUCUGUGUCAGCCACUGGGCAAGGCAGCAAGCAUACCAAUAAAGAGUCUAUGUCAAGUGCCUGUGUUCUAUUUUCUGGCAUAUAUAUGUCAUUUAGUCUUCACUAAGGCCUCUGAAGUACCUACUACUGUUAUCUUCAUUUUAAAGAUUAGGACACAGGCACAAAAAGAUUAAGUAACUUGUUGAAGUCACACAGAUAAAAUUUACCUCAUUUUCAUGGUGCUCACAGUCUAUAAAAUAGAAAGUUUUUUAGUACAACAUUUUAAAAUUCCAUUAAAUGUAAUACUCCCCAAAAGUCAGCAAGUAUCCAAGUAAUUGGAAGUUAACUUGAUGUUGAAUUUUUAUUUAGGCAUUUGGAGUUACGUAUUCACAGCCUGUGGCUGUGUCUGUAAGUGUUCCUGGUGUCUCUAUUUGUCUACGUAAGAAAUAUAAUCAGUUUCCUUGUCUAAGUACUAUGACCUUUUAGUGGGCAAAACUGGAAUUUUUUUAAUGCUAUGAGAAAUACUAAUAUAAUUCUGGUCUAAAAGAAAAAAAAUACUGUGAAGUGUGUUGAUGACAAGUGUAAGUACAACAUUAUUAGAAGUGCUGUUAAGAAAGCUGGAAUAUUUUGUAUUCUGUUAGCAAGAUGCCAGCAUAACCAAAAUUUGUUAAGAAUGGCUAAGAUAUAAAACAUAACAUGUGAAAGGAUAUUUAAUCACUAUAGAAAACUUAAAAUUAAGUAUAAUGCUUAGGAACAUAUGAUUCAGAAUAUUACUAAUUGAUUUGCAAUCUGGUUAAGAAUUUUAUUUUACCAAGCCUGUGUGUGGCACGAUUUCCACAGGGUGAAUUUAAUCAGUGUUGAUAAUAUGGAUGAGUCCAUGUAGGCUACAUCUGUCUUUGUACCUUAAAUGCCAUGCUACAUUUUUAAGAAGUAACAUAAAUAUUGUUUUAAAGGAGAUCAUUCUUAAGAAACCACAAUAAUCCAUCAAGGAAAUGUUAGGAAACUGGAGCUGUGUAAUGCAGCUUGCCAGAGUCAAAAAUGAUCUUGGAGUUUCCUUAGGAGCUUUAGGGAAGAAAAGAACUGAAAGCGAAAGUAGUAAACCAACAUCUGAGCACCUUCUCUAUGUAAGCAACUGUGCUGAUGACUCUUCUCCCUAUUUUUAAGAUUUGUUUUUGUUGUUUCCUGGCCUUUCUCAUACUCCUACCACUCCCUCCCCCAAUACAUACAUUAACAUAUACUAUAAUUUAAAAAUAUAUUUUAUUAUAUCUUUAAUAGCUAGAAGAGUGCCCAUCAUUUGUGAUCAAUACAUAAUUGAUAGAUGAAUAUAUGAAACAUGUGUAAGAUACUGCCUGAUAUGGUUUGGCUGUGUCCCCACCCAAAUGUCAUCUUGAAUUGUAGCUCCCAUAAUUCCCAAGUGUGGUGGGAGGGACCUGGUGGGAGUAAAUUGAACCAUGGGGGUGGGUCUUUCCCAUGCUGUUGUCGUGAUAGUAAGUCUCAGGAGAUCUGAUGGUUUUAUAAAGGGGAGUUCUCCUGAACAAGCUCUUUCUUUGUCUGCCACCAUAUUAAUAUGUGACUUUGCUCCCCAUUUGCCUUCUGCCAUGAUUGUGAGGCCUCCCCAGCCAUGUGGAACGGUGAGUCAAUUAAACCUCUUUCCUUUAUAAAUUACCCAGUCUCAGGUAUAUCUUUAUUAGCAGCAUGAAAACAGAUGAACACACAGCCUAUGUUCUUACAAGGAGGUAGCACAGGGUAGGAGAAAGAGCACUGAACUGGGAGGGCAGAUACGUGGCUCUCAUCUUUGUUUGGCCAGUACUUCAUUUGCCAACCACAAGCAAAGGACCUCAAUGCAAGACAAUUAGACUGUCUCUAAAAUCUCCUUUUAUUUUGAAUUUCUGCCAUUUUAUGUCAGUCUUCAAGUAUGUAAAGUGUUCACUUUAAUUUAUAGAAAACAGUGUUUGUUCAGAAUUGUUCUGGGAGACAGAUCUCUAGCAAGAUGAAUUUGAACACUAUUAGUUUUCCUAUGGCUGCUGUAACAAAUUAAUACAAACUUGGUGGCUUAAAACAAGAAAAACUUAGUCCUUCACGAUUCUGGAGGCCUGAAGUCUGAAAUCAAGGUGUCAGCAGGGUCACACUCCCUGCAGUGGGUCCAGGAGAGAUUUUGUUCCUUGCCUCCUCUAGCCUCUGGUCACUAUCAGGAUUCCUUGACUUGUGCCUCCAUCUGCACAUCCUUUCCACUUCUGUGUCUCUCUUCUGUGUGCCUCUCAUAAGAAUACUUGUCAUUGAAUUUAGGGCCUACCCAGAUAAUCCAGGAUGAUCUCCUUAUCUCAAGAUCCUUAACUUAAUUACAUCUGCAAAGAUUCUUUCUCCAAGUAAGUUAAUAUCCACAGGUUCCAGGAUUAGGAUGUGGACAUCUGUUUUGGGCAGGGGUGGUGGAGGGGGCACGAUUCAGCCUAGUACAGACACAGAAUAAGGUAACUGUAUAACCAUGCUUACUUUCCAUAUAGUGGGACCAAAUUCUCAGACACUAAAUUCUCAUACAAAUAAAUAUACCUUCCUUUUUUUUUUCUGUAACUUUAUCUCUAUUUCGAAUUCCCCCAUUCUUCUGAGCAAUGAACUUCAAGUUUCAGUCAAUACAGGAUCUCUCCCCUUGGGAUACUGUCUAUCCAUGGCAGCAUCAGUGAGAUGCCCUCGGGCCCUGUGGUCUUUUCUCAGCAGUCCUCACAGGUCACUGUCACCCAGAGGACAAUCACAUCCUCAUUAGCCCGUCUCUUCAGGCCCACUCCUCUCCUCACUGCUUCAGUAUCCUGGCGGGCACAUAGAACUCAUCUUGUAGGCAACUCUGCUGGGGGUUUAGAAGACUCUUUCUCCCUUGUUUUUGUUGUUUUCUGGGCUUUCUCAUACUCCUACCAUUCCCCUCCGCUCCAUACAUACAUUCAUUUUGUAGUCUCAGUCCCCAUUUCCUUGCCUGGUAUGGAGCUACAGAGAUAACCAGGAAAGUCUUCUCAGCUACCAUAUUGAAAUUAAAUGUUUCUACAUAGAUAUCUCCCCCUGGCCCAUCCCCUCCACUCUUUCUUAUCCUCUCUCCCUCUUUUCCAUGCAUUUGUUAUUUCUCCUUUUACUCCUUCUUUAUUCCCAGGCAUUGCUUUUCCCAUCGCCUUCUCUCCCUUGGUUUCUCCCCUUCUUUUUUCCUAAUUUUUUUCUUCCUCAAUUAUUUCACUCUUCCUCAAAAGGCCAUAAUACACAUCAUUUAGUUACUUUUUUUUGUUAGAUCAAAGAGUACAUCUAUUUUCCUUUUUUUGGGAAGAGCUAAGCAAUUUAAAAUUUCCAAAUUUUCACUCCCUAGAAGGAAAAAGGCCCAAAGUUUGUUUCAAAUUGUUCUUUAUGUGUUCAGGACCCCAUGUUAUUAUUUUUAACCUAUAGUCCAAUGACUCCCUAAAGAUAAAUAGAUUCCACAUGAGACCUUUUGACAUCCUGUUUUCUAAAGUACUGUCCCCAAGAAGGGCCAGUUCUCUCUGUUUUGUAUUCAAAUAAAAAAUAUAAAAUUUGAGUCUGUGGAAGAAAAUUCAUAUCAGUAAGAUUUUGGGAAGCUGGAUGCUAGACCAGGCAAGGAGAUGCACGGUCUCCUGCUCUUGCGUACUUCAUGUCAGCCCAUGACGGAGUGCACUGAGUGUGAAAGGGUGAUGUCUACAGGAGGUGAAGGGUUUGCCCACACUGAGGCACAUGCCUCUUUCUUUGGUCUCUUCCUUAGUGCCUGAGAGAAAGAACUUACAGCUCUCCAGGGAAGGCCAGGACAUUGAGUUGGAGGACAAUUGCCUUAUGUGCAUAUGUUUGGAGUUGUUUAUUUUGCAUGGGUAUCUCCUAAAAAAUAAGACAGGAUUAGGAUAUUCUGGAUCUGAGUUUCCCACCAAACACUAUAACAUCCAAAUUAACAUUUCUUUUAUAUAAUAGUAGCUCCUUUAUUAAGCACCACACUAUGUGGUAAGUACUGUACACACUUAGGUACGUCACUUCACUCAUUUGUUUUUUCAGCAACCAUAUAUCUAGGUAAGUAUCAUUAUCAUAUUACAGAUGGAGGAAAAUGAGGCCUGAGGAGGUAAAAUGUUGGUCAAAGUUAACAAAUUGGUAAAUGUUAGAGAUGAGAUGUUAACACCAAACCUCUUGUUCUUCCUACUACACUAUAUUUAUCAUCUAAAAGUAACCUCUCAUGCUCCUUCCAUAUCUGAAACAAAGAGAUUUCGUGACCUCUGUAAAGUCACAAUUUUCACAGAUUUCAAACAAUAUCUUCCUCAGGAUCAAGCUUUUUUUUUUAUUAGGGUUGGUUUUAAACUCCCAAUCUGUGUUCUCUUCAAGGAAAUUUUCUCAGUCAUGCUUGGAAACCUGGCUUUCCACUACAAUUACUUGUUUUAGGUGGCAAACGCUUUCUCUAGCUAAAUCAGUCACUAUAAUAAUAUUCCCACAAGUAUGCAAGGCUGAGCACAGUGUACUGCCUAUGGUAGAUAACUAAAAUGUGUGAAGAAGUGAAUUCCAUCUGAGAAGUUCAGAAAACAUGAAGACUAACCAGCAUGGAUAAAAUAGAGAGGAGAUUGGUCUUUCCUAAGGAAUAGGUUUGUGCCAGAUAAGAUACGAUCAAAUUAUGAAGGGCACUGAAAGCCAGGCAAGGAGUUUAAACUUGAUGCUGCAGGCAAGAGGAAGCCAAUAAAAGUAUUUGAUCCAAGGUGAGGCAAUAAUAAAAGCAAUGUUUAAGAAAGAGUCACCUCACAGUGUGAUGCAGAAUGAACUGGUGCUAAAGAGAAUGGAACCAGGUGCAUCAGUGAACCAUUGGUACAGAAAUCCAAACAUAAACUAAUGAGGGCCUAGACAAGAACCAGAGAAACAUGAAUGAUGUCUCACCACUGAACUAAGCUGCAUUGCUUAUGUUUCCUUAAGACAAUUAUCUAUUUUAGUUACUGAGAGUUUAAGUGUGAUGUGGUUGCUGAUGUGUUAAAUAAUAAUUUUUAAAAACCCUCUGAUAUGUCAUACUUGGUAAUCCCUUCUCAAGGCCUUGCAGUACUUGAAUGCACUGGAGUCAUUAUCUACUUGACACUCUCACAAUAUAUAUAUAUCUUUAGAAAAAGCUAAUACUUGGGAGAAAAACCAAGUUUUCAAACAGUUGAUUAACAGGAGCAAUGUGAGGCGGUAGCUGGCAUCAGAAGGCCUGGGUUUCCAUCCCAGUUCUACCAAUUAGUAGCUGUGUGGCUUUAGGCAAGUCAUUUCACCAUACUGAGCUCCAAUUUCCUCAGCUGCAAAAUGAAGAUUCCAAAACCUAUCUACAGGAUUACAGUCAAAUUUAAAUGAAAAAAAAAUACAUGAAAGUACUUCAUAAAUUUUACAGUGCAAUAUGAGUACAAGAUUUUAUUUUUGUGAGCAAUUACACAUAAGUUGAAACUAAAGCUCCCACUCAUUCAAAAUGAAACUUCAUUAGAAAUCUCUACAGUUAUGUACUUCCUGUAGCUUUGGGUGGACCCAACAGCAGAAAACAAGAGCAAGUGGCAGGCAAGCAGGUGAUGUCAGAAAUACUGCCAAGUAGCAAUAGGACCCACACAGCUACGAUGCAUCACAGACAGAUAACACACUAAGACGUGAAGAGAUGUGAUAGGUAUCUGGGAGGUCAGGCAUCCCCAGGGGCUGAAAUCCUAGAGAGAUGUGGGCACUUGAGUUCAGGCCAAGACUGUGGGCUCAGGAAAGAAUGGCAAGAGUAAAGGCCAACUCUGAUUCCAGAGAAACUUAGGAACAGAAAAACCAGGUCAGGAGUGUGGAACACGUGGAGACACAGGAACAAAAGGUGGUGAAAUGUUACCAGAGGUAGGUGACAAGGAAAGAAUUUGGCAUAAGGAAUAAGUCAAUAAUUUUGUUAUAGAACCCAGAUUUAAGGCUAAACCAGGCAGCCAUAAGGCUAAUACAAUGCUGAGCUGCCUCAGCUACUGGCCUCAGGUUCCUAAAAUUUCCCCUCUAAUGGUAAGGUUGAUUUUUUUAAAAACUUAAGUGCAGGAAGUUACAUUUAUACCUAUUAAAUUUCAUCUUGUUUCAUUUGGCCCAUCAGUCCAGCCAGUCAGUAUCUUUUUGAAUCCUGACUCUGCUGUCCCAGUAAUUAGUUAUUGCUCCCAGCUUCAUGUCAUCUUCAGAUUUGAAGAGUGUACUUUCUGUGCUUUGCCACUGGUUGAUUAAAAGUUCGACAGAACGUAGUGGCACAUCCCUGAAAGUUUCUUCUAGGAGACAGCCAGCUUCAAAGCCACUUAAUACACUCUCAGUGAGUUCUCAUUUCCUCACCUUCCAAAACAAAUAUCAAAAGAGGUACUGUCAAGUGUCUUGCUAAAAUCCUGAAACACUGAAAGCCAUAGCACUGCCCUCCAUUUUCCAGUCCCCAGUCUUCUCUCAGGCACUUGCAAAUUCUCAUCCCCUCUUUCCACCUCCUCCCACUUCAGAACUACUUCACUCUUUUUGCCAGGUCCACCUGUAUCAUGAAUCCCAGCACUUCCCAUCCCCUCCAGGUCCUCUAUGCAUCACUUUUUUCUUCUCCUUUAUUUUCCACGUCCUCCUUUCCACCAACUUCUUCUUUACCUUAGGAAAGUGGUUCUCAAACUUUAGCAUGCAUCAGAAUCAUCUGGGAAACUUGGUAAAAUACAGAUUGCUAGGACCCAAGAGUUUGCAUUUCUAGUGGUUCUCAAAGUGUGGUCCUGAGACAAGAAUCAUACCUGGAACUGGUUAGACAUGCACAAUUACCAGGCCCCACUUCAGACCUACUGAAUCAGAAAUUCCAGAGCUAGGGCCCAUCAGUCUGUGUUUCAACAGGUAUUUAUCUCCAGGUAAUUCUCAUACAUGCUAAAGUUUGAGAACCACUGCUCUGCAUAUUGAGUACAAACAGAGAUUUGCAACCAGAGAAAUCUGAGUUUGGAGCCCUGCUUUGCCCCUUCCAAUCUGUGUACUGAGGUCAUAUGACUUACCAUCUCUAAGCCUCAAUAUUUUAAUCUAUAAACUGAGAAUGAUAGUACCUACCUCCACAGAUGGUAUGAAGAUUAAAUGGUAUAAUGUAGGUAAAAUGCUCAGCACAAUGCCUAAAAAUUCAAUAAACAGAAGCUGUAUUUGCAUUAUCUAUUAGAAAAUGACUACAUCUGUAUCAUCAUUUGAAAGAAAAAAAUCUCUCCAUCUACCUCAUGCCCUACUCUAACCUUCAUAACCAAGACCAUAAAAAUCUUCAUUCACUCUCUCCACAUCUUGGUCCAUUUAUUUGGGGCUAUAACAGAAUACAUGAGACUAGGUAAUUUACAUAUUUUUAAAAAGAGGUUUAUUUGGCUCAUGAUUCUGCAGGCUGGGAAGUCCAAGAUGCAUGGCAUCAGCAUCUGCUUGGCUUCUGGUGAGGGCUUCAUGCUGUAUCACAUCAUGGCAAAGAAGUGGAAGAGGAAAUGGACACAUGCAGAGAGAAAAACGUGAGAGGCAACUUCACUUUAUAACAACCCACACCUGCAGAAAUUAAUCCAGUCUCUCAAGAAAGACUUAAUCUAUCUCAACAAUCUAAUCAUCUUUCAAUGGCCCCACCUCCCAAAACCACCACAUUGACAAUUAAAUUUCACCAUGAGUUUUGGUGGGGACAAACCACAUCCAAACCAUGGCACUCUAGUUUCUCACAUCCAUCGCUCUUUAGGUUACUGCUAUUGGCUGCUGUCCUCACCACUCCACUAAGCUGUCCUAGCUAAGAUCAUCAAUGAUCUAAUUCUGGAAGUAGUAGACUCUGCAGAAUUCAUCUUUCUAACCUCCAUAUCCUUUCCUUUGUGAUGGUCUCACUUCCCUUGGUUUCCACCUGGCAGCCUUUCAUGGUCCUUCUAACUUUCUGCUGAUUCUGUCUCAGUCACAGUAACGGGCUCCUCUCCUGAUACCUGUAUUUUGAGCCCUUUCCAUAAUUCACUCUCAUUUCUUCUCAACAUGACCACAGCUUUACCUACCUCCUACCUAUAUUCCCAGACAAGAGCUCUGUCCAGAGCUCCAGACAUCUCCAAAUGACUACUAGAUAUCCCAACCUGGAGAUCCAUGGCACCUCAAAAUCACCACACCCAAAGACCAAAGUCAUCAUCUACUGACCCAGAUCUGUUCUGUUCUUCACAAUUCCUUAUGUUCUCAAAUAGACUGGGAGGUCUCAAGGUCAAAGUCAGGGUCUGAUUAUCUCUGUCCUCUCAUACUUGGACUCAGAGCCAGGUAAGUACUUAAUAUGUAUGUAUUUAUCAAAUGCCUGAAUCAGUAAAAUAAAUAAUGGCAUAGUGUGCAGCAAUUUUUAUAAAAAGAAAUUAAAUACUCACAUAGAAAAAAGGAAACGAAAUACUUUCUAAAUCCAUGCUGAUACUAGGAGUCAUUAUGUCCCUUUCUAGAUCUUGAUUUCAAAUUAAUCUGUCUUUAGUGUCUAAAAUCCACUUUCUCCCCUCAUUAACCAUUAAGAUGGGGCAACAUGAUGAGCACUGUGCUCAGAUGAUGGACAAGCAGACACGAAUUCAACAUGAGGUCUCUGCAACACCGUCGCCAGGACAACUGCUCCACAUGACCAGUGCCCUCUCAUCUUUUGGAGCUAGUCUUUUCAUAACAUGUUUCAGGGUGCCUAAUAUACAUUAUAUUAGAUAUAAUAUAUAUUUCUAUCAUCUAUUUUUGCAAUUUGCUGUAUAUAUAACAGACACCAAAUAUAAUAUCAAGUACAAUAUCCAAAAAAACAAAAAAAAUUAAGAUGUUUAUCCAUCUAGUCUUUCUGUAUCUCUCUUCAUAAAUUCUCCACAAUUACCAAGAGUAGUUUUGUAAACACUGUAAUUCUACUAGAACGCAGUUUAUCCACAGACUUGAAUGCUUUGUCAGCUAAGUGUUUUCUCACUAUCACUUUCCUUAUCUGGGGUUUCUGUUCCUUCUUAACUAUGUUUGCUUUGUUCUUUCCAGUUUGAAGAUCAUUCUCCUUGCUACAGUAGACGAAGGUGAAUUCAAAGUUGAGUGGUUCUGUUUUCUCAAUCAUUUUGCCUUACCCCACCCAUCUCUACUCCAUCAAGCCUUUAUUUCUUCCUCAUUCUUUGGUUCAAGGUACAGUUUUGGACAUCCUUUUAUAUUAUCUUUAGCACUUUUAUGAUGCAGGUUAGACUUGCUGAUUAUAUUCUUGUAUUUUUAGCCACGUUAGCAAUAUUCAUCCUUGGAAAUUAGCUCAUCCUUCAAUCGUUUGUAUCUUGGCCAAGGGUGAAGACACAAAAGCGGGUAGGGAGCAGGGCUAAGAAUGGAGCAGGCACCCUCUGCCCUGGAGAGAUGCAGUACAGGUUUCAGAAUGACCCAAAAGCUCAACAUCAGGUCUCAGUUGCCAGAAAAGGCAAGACCUGGGCUUGCCAGAUGUCCCCUGUUGAACCAGACAGUCAAGUAUUUUAACUUCUUGUCUGAUAAAAUGAAAAUUUCAAAUUGGUUGUUAUUUCAAUUUCAGAUUUGCCUUAUCUUAAUUCCAGUUUUCUAUUUAAUCAACAGUGGUUUGGAACAUUUUCAGCUUUUAGUUUCUUACUAAGUUAAAUAUUUAAUGAUCUGUAAACAAACACUUGAGAAGCUGCUACUUAAAGGGACUCUCAUCCCUCUUUACUUUGUAAAGUGAAUGAAUUCACUCUUGAAUUUAUCUUUAAAUUUUCAGGUAAGUGUUUGAAUGUAAAAAGUGGAGCUGGCAUGGUAGGGUUGAUGAGAAGGAAGCAUCACUGUAGAAAGCUUCCGAAUCUUUCAGUCCCCCACCCCUACUGAGGACACAGUCUUUCUGCAGAGUCUUUCUGGCCAUCACAACAGGGAGCAAGGGUUAGGGAAGGGGAAGAAGAAACCAAUAAAGUGUAAGUAUGGUACCAGGAGUAUACCAAGACCAUGAAGGAGAAAGAGAUCACAUGCAAAUAUAGGUUGAAGUAGGUUUGAAAUCCAAGGAGAGAUAUUCCAAGAAACAAAUAUAGAGAUGAGAGAGAGUGAGAGACAGAGAGAGAGAAAGAGAGAAAUUUAAAUACAUAGGUAAAUUCACAGGCAGAAGGAAAUCAAAAGCCAGAGGAAGCAUUAAAGGGCAAACAAAGUAAACUGAACAAGGGUGAGUAGGAAAGACAUGGCUUGACAAAACAGCUAUUCGUUAUCUACGCUCACUUUAGAUUCCAAGAACAGGUUUAUGUUCUGUAUUAGUCUGUUCUCACACUGCCAAUAAAAACAUACCUGAGACUAGGCAAUUUAUAAAGGAAAGAGGUUUAAUUGACUCACAGUUCCACAGAGCUGGAGAGGCCUCAGGAAACACAAUCAUGGCAGAAGGGGAAGCAAACACGUCCUUCUUCACAUGGUAGCAGCAAAGAGAAGUGCCGAGUAAAAGGGCGAAAAGCCCCUUAUAAAACCAUUAGAUCUCGUGAGAACUCACUAUUAUGAGAACAGCAUGGAGGUAACUGCCCCCAUGAUUCAAUUAUGUCCCACCAGGUCCCUCCCACGACACAUGGGAUUAUAAGAACUACAGUUCAAGAUGAGAGCUCACCUGAGAGCUCCCUACUUCUUUAGAUGACUAACUUUUAUCCCUUAUAAGAACUAUUUCUUGCAGGACUAUCAGAAUUUUAUUUUAUCUUAUUUUUUUAAUUUUAUUUUUAAGAGCCACUCAUGCCUCUUGGAUCCCUUCUGGAAUAUUAGGUUUUAGAAUUUUGCUUUUUGAAAAAUCUGCCUCUCCCCAGAAGUUGAGGGCUCUUUCCUCUGGUUAGUACAUAUAGGAUAACAUAGUCACUUCCACUUCAGCAACGGCUUCCCUUAUUCAUCAGAAUUAGAUCCAAGAUGGCAGCUCGCCUUUUUAUUUAUAAGAAAUGAAACUAUCAGGAGGGCAAAUCAAACAAUUCUCAGAAGUUUUUCUUCCAAUUUAUUGUCAUCCUUGCAUUAUUGUCUCAUAUUUGAAUAUCUGUCAUGGUGGGGUUUCAGCUACAGUCCCCCAAAUUUCUCCAUGUAAUUUCCCAGCUGCAAUCAUGGAAGUAGAGACAGAUCCACAUCACUUCCAAGGGGACUCUGUGGUCACAGAAACCAUCACCAUGCAAGCGCCAAGAUUUCUGGGUGUCAGGGCAUGGGGAGGUAGAAACGGGUAGGUCUUUUAGGGCCAGGGUCACCUGCAGUAAGUCCUAGCCUGAAGCAAUGUGGGAAGCAGAAGUCAAAGAGAAGUGCAAAACUGAAAGUGGUAAAUUGUGCAAAGAUCCUUAAUGCCCAGAGGUGAGUGGCAAAGCUUCAAAUAUGGUAUGGCUCCCAAAUGGUGGGAGCCAAUGCUUGGGUCUAGAGCCAGGAGUUCAUUAGAGGGGGGAAAAGGCAAGGACAAAAACAUCUGGAGAAAACCAGUAGGGUUUAUUUGAUUCUUGGCUUUGAGUCAUCUAAGUAUGUUGUUUCACAAGUUUAUGAGAGCAGGCUCUUGUCUUUUUGUUCACUGCUCUAUCCCUGGGGCCCAGCACAGUCCCUGACAUAUAUAGCAAUUGUUCCAAAAAUUAGUAUCAAAUCACUCAAACAACAGUGCUUUCAACUUUUUUUUUUUUUAACAGAUCAGCAUAAGUGUGGCUAACAGUGAUUGGAAUGGAUUUAAAGCAUCAAUUCCAAAGUAGAGAUUAUGAGUCAACUUUUUUUGCAGGGGGCUAUCCUCUGUCAGAGUUACAUCAAUUCAUAAUUUUCCUGUAGUCUCAAUACCACUAAGCCAUCUCUACUAAUAGAGAUAAGAGAAAGAACCUGCAUUAUUUAUCAGUAUGCAUCUCACAUUGAAAACCUAACCUUACCAACGUUGCCUGGGAAUGCUAAUGUCUUCUGUGCCAUGGGAGAGCACAACAGGGCACUGUGUAAGCACUGUGUAAGAAGAUGUGGUGAAGAGUGACCACCUAUGAACACAUUCCCAGUGGACAGACCUUUUCAAGUUCUCCUCUUGACAUUGGCUUGCUUUGGGGAUGACUGUCUGGUGGUCCUGCCCUUGCUAUGGUGAAAACAGAGCACAAGGAAAGCCAUGGAAGGCAAACAGGGAAUGCAACCUUAGAUCAAUCCUUCCCAAACUGUCACUGAGACACAGAAGCCACAGAGACACACUCAUAUGUUAUGACACUUGGAGAAUUAUGUAGGUUAUUGCUGACACCAUGUAAGCACCUUCUAAAAUAACCCAGAAAAAAUGCUCUGAGAAGACCUGAAUUACAAGUGUGUGGAAUACCUCCAUCUUCUGCUUAACUGAUGUGAACCACAGGGAAGGGAUAAUUGUGGAAAUGAAACAGGAAACAAGCAAAACCAUUUAUAACACAUGAAAAUGAGUAAGCAAGCAAGUUGGCAUGCAUGAGAUAUAGAAAAAAGAGCGAAUUUGUAUCUAGUGCUUCCAGUGAAUUGUUCAAGAACACUUCAUCCUUGGAGAAGAAUUUCCUCUAAUUCUGUCAAGGGUGGUGUCUGCAUGGGUUACGUGCCAAGUAAUUGUCCGGUCACAAGCUAACAGUGUCAAGAGGCUAUUUUAAAGAUGAAUGGGAACAUAAAACAUAUUUUGUCCUAUUCACCACUUUGAAUAUGUCUCAGGAACAAAACUUGCACUUGAAAUGAAAUGGAGAAAUGUGAUUUUUAUGAGUUACUGGCUUUUUCCCCCCUUCACACCACUGACAGAACAAAAACAUUUAGAGGAAGACAGCCCAAUGUCAUGUAAGUAUUUGUAUAUUUGUUCUCACCGUGGUACACAAGGGACAUAUCGAACACUUUCCCUGACUAAAAACAGGACAUUAUUUAAGCUCUGCCAUCACACUCCAAUGCUUUUCAAUAGCUAGAAGAAUUUUGCAUUCCUUCCCAUAGGAACUGUAAGCUCAAAAAGAAAAAUUCUUCUGCAACACACUCUGUCAAUAACUUGUAUUCAUUUUGCUUUCUGAAAGAGUUACUUUUUAAAAUGUAUAUGCUAAGAAAAAGUGAAAGAAGAAAAAAGAGGCCUUCCAUCUAUGAAUUGUGCUCUUUUUUUAUUCAUAUGAUUUCCAAGACCAAGCAAAUUAUCAUAAUCUUCCUAACAGAGAUACACAAUUCCACCUAAGAAUUACCAUUUACUUAAACCAGUGAAAAGCAGUUUCUAUUAGAUGCUGAGACAAGUCAGCUGUAUGUGUUCAUAUGUGCUCCCUAGAAAUUAUUUUUGAAUUUCAAGGUUAUAAAUAAUUCCCAAACUCAAGUUCAUGCUGAUAUUCUAAUAUGGGUUAUUUGUACUCCUCUGCUGGUGUCAUUUCUUUUGAUUUAAUCAUUAUUCCUUACAGGCUAGCACUGGUCUAUUCAGUAUACUGACAGGACCAAGCCAUCAUCCCACCUAAGAAUAUCAAUUAUGCUUUCAAAGCAUACAAUUUGAUUCAUGCAGAAGCUACUGUAUAUGCAUCAUGGUGUUUUCAUAAAGACUCCCUUAUUUACUCUAAACAGUGUUAUGCCUUUUACAAUAAGAUUCUGUAGUAACUGUUUAACCUUUCUAAAUCUUUUCAAGAAAUCUUAAAAGAAAGGAAAGCUUGCCCUCAAGAAUACACUUUCUGUUCUUAUAAAAAUCAGCUCCUCUAUAAAUAGCUGCAGUGAGGCAAGGCUUCAAAGCUUCAGCCUAAAAUGCCAUGAGUACUGUCCUGUAGAGACAGCUUUCAACCAUGUCUGAGUCGGCACAAAAAAGGAACUUCCUGCCAGCUGAAUGUGUGUCUCCCAACUUUCUCUCCUCAUGCAUAUCUAAAAAGGAUACUGAGCUAGAAUCCCUAGUAGUUUUCCUAUUUAAGGCCUGUAUGCAAGUCGUUCCCGCAGUAGAAGCUGGAAACACACACACAGCCCACUCCUUCACUCACUCAUAACCUAGCAGGACCAGCUCCGGGCCCGCUCAGCUCCCUGUGCUGCCUGAUUUCUCAUUUCUCGAAGCACACAGAGGCUGGAAUGAGCCCACCAUCUGCCCCAACCACCAGAAACAAAAACAUGCCUUUUUCUAUUCCUGUGUGUGCAGGCAACGUCCACCCAUGCCGCUCAAGCCCUUUGAUCCUACAGACCAAGCCACCACAUCCUCUUCAUACCCCCUCAUGCACCCAUGAACACAAGCAUGCACACACACACACACACACACACGCACAAACACACAUGCCCACACAAUGCUCACAGUGAUGUCAGGAGUGGUUACCCUUCCUUCCAUAUGCCUAUGUACCAUAUGACCGAGACAGCAACAAGGAAAAACAUUACUUCGCCUCCCCAAACCAAUCCUAAUGUCUUUCUUCAGUGAAAAUGGUUCAUCUGCACUGGGGUCCUCCAUGUAAGAGCCAGAAGUUCUGGGCUUCUCCAGAUAUGUGCACAUCGAGAAAUAAUAAGCACAACUGUAUGGUAGUGAAGACAAACAAUUGCAGUACAGUUGAAAACUGCUCUGUGUGAACUGAUUACCCACAGAGUACCAUGCUCUGCCAGGGUCGGUGUGGUAGAGGGCCAUCUCCUCCCGUGCCAUUCUUCUAGGAUCAGCUGUGUCAGCUCUUGUUAAAAACUCCUCACCAAAAAGAAUCAAAAACAGAAACCAAGAUAGCACUUGAGAGAAGAUGGAGGAGAUGUUCAUUCCUGUACCCAUCUCUGGAGGGCCACAUGUUUGGAGACUACAGUACAGUUUGCCUCUAUCUGCUUACUAUAAUCCUGAGGAUGGAUUUUGAAGCAUAGUUAAAUGGUGUUGGCGAUUUCCCCUCACUUUAAUUAUUCAAAAUAAACAAACAAAUAAAAUGCC